rnacentral:lncRNA from 1 species
UGAGAUGGUGUCGGGCGGUGGCGUUGUUGGUGGUUCUUUACCACAUCUAUGGUGGUGGUGGCGGUAUACGGUGGUGGUGAUAGUCGUGUUAGCCGAUUUGCGAACUUGUUAAGCUUUGGUUAUUUGUGUCGAGCAGUGUUCGAACUGCUUAUUACUGUGGUCAUAGUAUCGUUCGGUUGUGUUGGUGAAACUUCGUCAGAUAAAGUUGCUAUUUUAUAUUUGAGUGAUAUUUGGAGUCGUUUUAUAUCUGCUGCCUGUAGCAUAUUUGAUAAUGGUUUUUGUGUUGCAAAGUGGAUUUUUUUUCUGUCACUAACUACUCCGUAGUGAUAUACCAUUGUAUCACUGCUUUCGUGAUCUAAACGCUCUUAUAGUACUUUACAGAGGGAGUGCUGAUGCUGAAACUUGGCUGUGCUGAAAAUUUAUUAUCAAACUCAGACAGAUAGUUGCAGCAGCUGCUUUAUUUUUCAAGGUUGCAUCUGAGAAAAUCUGCACUCCAAUCCCUGUCUGGCCAUAGCACGUCGAUGGUAUACAAUACUGACCUUUCAUACUUUAUUCAAGAGUACUCACUCUGUUCCUAAAUUUAAGCCUCUUUAUAGAUUUCAUUCACUACGGACUACACAUGGAGCAAAAUGAGUGAAUCUUACACUCUAAAGUAUGUCCGUAUAUACAUCUAUAUGUAGUCCGCAUCGAAAUCUAAGAAAUACUUAUAUUUAGGAACGUUGGCUUCAUCAAAAGAUUAGUGACAAGAAGAUGAGGAGAUUUUUUCUUAGUUAUACGUAUAUCUGUAGUCCCCAUAACAAAUUAUGAGUCAACAUUUUAAAAAUUAUGUUACUGGUAGUGUGUGUCUAAAAGGCACACCAAAUUAAGGGGGGAAAAGCAGAGAAGACACGUGAUUCAGAUAAUUACGGUAGAUGCAUGGUGAGAAAUUGACGAGAAUAAGACCAGAGGAAGAUGAAGCAAUCCAUGAAUAUGAGGGGGUUGUUGAGGCCAUCCACCGGGUCGGGAUGAAAACGGCCUCUUCUUCCUGCCGUAUGCCCCUGCCCCUGCUUCUGCAGCGGCGCUGGGUUUCGCUGCUGCCGCUGCCGUCGUCGAAGCUUUACGGUGGCCGUUGCCAUUGCCUGGCUUGUUCUUCGUUGGAGAGCUGACCACGGACAGAGCCGGCGGAGGCAUUCUUGGCAACAAUGAAUGACGUGGAGCGGCAGAGGCCGGCCCUGGGACUGGGAGAGCUUUUCUUUUGCUGCUGUUGCUAUUGGGGUCGAGCACGAAGUCCAUGUCCGCGGACCAAGACAGUGGUAGAUCUUGAUCUCAACACUAGGAUGCCACUGUUCAAAAAUUACAUUAUAUACUACUAUAAUUUGACCAAAACAUCACCAAUAAUAUCAACUAAUAGUCCCAAAAUAACAUCAACUUAUUAAUAAUUAGUGUUAAAUACAUAGUAAAAACUAGAUUCUGAAAGUAACAUAAGACUUUUUAGAUCAGUAAAGUAGCAGUGAUCUAAGAAGUACUUUACAGAGGGAGUAUUUUGCAUUAUUGUAGUCGGCCAUGAACGGUGUACUAGUUGCCUCCAUUGGUCUUGAUCCUACACGCAGUUUGGUAGUUGGACAACCUGAUGUCUGGCUGCGUCUCGCCCGUGUACUUGAUGUAGGUGACUCGAAAUCCUGGUGGAAAGACAACGUUGCGGAUGUGGGAGUCAAAUGCUUUUGGGCGCAUGCACACCAUUUUCGGGGGAGUCGUACGGUGGAAAUGGUUGAUGAUGCGUUAGUCGUCGUCAUCAUCGUCACGGUGAUCUUCGCAAAGGUUACUGUGGCCAACGUCACAAUCAUCUCUUCCCGUGCCACGACGACGAGCACAAUGCCUUGCCUCGAUGGUGUUCUACGUGUCGUGGUCCGGACUGAAGCUCUGUGUUGUCACACCGUAUUGCCUGGAGGGUGUUCCAUGCAUUACGGUUCGACCCAAGUCGACCAUGUAUUGGCAUGAGGGGCACGAGGCUCUGAGUCGGUGUAGUUACACUCUUUGGCGUGUUGGUUCCCAGAUGGGGAAGAAUGCCGGCCCCUGGUGCUCGUAGUGGAAGAUGCGCAGCCAUUGCUGAUUGCAACUUGCUUUUCUUAAGACAACACAAUGGCAUAUGCUCACAUACACGUACAUACACUUUCUAUGAACGCACUUUGAUUGAAACUUGCCGGCGAGUUUCUUUUGCAUCAUUUAUACCGUCUUACAUUUUCCUUUACAUCAGUUAGUUAUUUUUAGCAUAUAUUAUGCAUUUCUUUUAACAAGGUUUCCACAACAAUGCAAGGGGUAUUAUCUAGUUUCAAUAAUACUCGGAUAUGCCAUGAUACUCUAACAAAGAAUGCCGAAGAAGACACAAACAAAAUGAACACAGCUAUUGUUGUAUUGCCAUGGUCUAAUUUACACGAGUGUGUUGUGGUACUAUCACAUAAAACUACAAAAGUUCCUCUGCUUUCAGCCAUAGGUAAAAGAUGGCUUGAAGUACAUGCACAUCGGUGGGUCAAUCCUCAUGAUGGACAAUAUUGCAGACGGAACACUCCAGAUACCAUCACCGCAAAUCAAACCAGAAGCAACCGCACCCGCAAACUCCUCUGACUCCUUACGGUUCACCAUCUCCCAUACAAACAAGAUGACAGUCCCGAUAAAUAUGUCAAUCGCGAAGUAUGCCCCAAUGUAAAAUGAAACGGCCAUGGCCAUCAGGAGCGGGAUGAAUUUGGAUAGACCAUUUGGGGUGACAUCCCGGAUGAGCUUGAUUGCUAUGGCUCCAAAGAAGAAGAAAGAGCAUAUUGCAAGGCAAUGUCGCGGCAACACUGAGAAUCCUUCGACACCCAUGAUUGACAUCUCACGGAAGAUGAUGGCAUAUGGAGCUUUGAACAUACCAUCAGGAUUGCCAAUAUCGAAGGAUGUCCAGUAAAGCCAAAAGGUUAGAGGAGCAAUGACACAACCAAGGGCAGUGCCAAUCAACUGUGACACAAACAUGGACCUUGGUGAUGAGAGGGUCAGGUACCCAGUCUUGAAGUCAUGCAUGAGAUCACCAGCUGUGGAUACGAUGGACAUCAUAACACCACAAGCUGCUAAGCCGGCGAUCACACCACCAUGUUGGCCAACCCAUGAGGCAAAAAUGAAAAGGCCAAUCUUUCCAUAUGUGGAUGCAAGGUUCCAAUCUGUUAGUCCAGUUCCGUAUGAGUUGCAGAAGGCAAGUAGAGGAGCAACAACAUAGGCAAAGAGGACAAGGUACCACUUGAGUUGUGGGAAUAUCAUUGGCACUAUUGCAGUUGAAAUUGCUGCAAGGCCCACAUAACCAGAUCCUGCCAACCAGGGAGGGAUACUGUCUUUUAGAAACACCUCAUUUAGAAGCUUUUCCUUGACUGAUAAUUUGGAAUUUUUAUCAUCUGCAAUUAUAAAAGGGAAACAAGAUGAGAGCCAUGAUGUAUGAUAUGAUGGCAGGUCAACUAGGUACAAUAAGAAAAUGGCAUUACCAUCAUGAACCCGAACAAGGGGAAGUCUUCCUUGCUUUGAGCGUGCAUUCAUUAUUUCCUUGAUAGUAGCAUAAAUUAUUUUGAUGAGGUUAAAAGUACCAUCACCAAGUAUCAAGGAUACCGAUAUGAAAACCUGGAAGGGUGCAUUGACAACUUAGUUUUUGCUAAAUAUAAUGUUGGCGAAGACUGAGCAUUAAGUGAAUAAAGAAUACUUUAGAAAUUUAAUGAUAUAGAUGAGCCAUUUAUUUAUUCUUGAACUCAAUUUCAUGUUUCUCAUGAAUUACGACCACUAUGCCCACUAAAAUAAAUGCAUAAAAGAGAGUUAUCAGUAUUAUUCGCAUAUUUACAAGAACUACUUGCAAAUUUACUGGGUUCAUUCAAUAUGGAGGGAAACAAGAGAUUUUGGUCAAGCCUUGUAAAUAUUGAUUCAUAAUCUAGUUCUUUUUAUUAGAUCGGUUCACAACAUGGUAAAAGCUAUGUUGGUCAACAACCAUCACAAUUGAAUUGGCAAAAGGCAUAAUCAAGAGACAACAUGGUAUUGACUAAUAAUUCAUUAUGAGAUGGACAAUUAGAAUCCUUCACCACCAUACCUUGUACCCAUAGAGUCCUUUGAAGUCAUUGCUUCCAAGGUUAGCUGGGUACCACUCCCCCGCUUUUGUCGAUAUAUAUGGCCAAAGAAAACCCCAAGAUAUGAUGGCUCCAAGAAGUGCAGAGCAAUUAACUAUAUGUGGACAUAUAAGGCCACAUCCAAUAUAGGUUGGAUUGAAGUCAAAAUAAAACCUAUAAAAAGUAGAAACUGUUCAUAUAUAAUGCAUAUGAUAUUCCAGCUUAAAGGAUAUUAAUUUCAUAUAAUAAUCCAUGCAUGUCCAAAUUAUCCCUAAUAAAUUAUAAGGAAGGCAAAUUUUGUUUCGAUUUGAAAAAUAAAAUGAUUUGUUUUUUAAUUGCAAAAUGCAUGCUUUGAAAUUUUAGCACGCUCAUAAUAGCAGUUAGCUUACAUGUUCUUAAAUGCUGCAAGGCCCAGAGAAGGGAAGUUGUCGAAGCCACAAGAAUCCCCGGCACCGCUGAAGAACCAUUUAAAGCAGUUCCAAAGGAAACUUAUGCUUAAAUACUUUCCGAGACAACUAACUUGUUUUCUGCAGGCAUGAGAAUAAAGUUAGUACCACCAAAACUCAAGAAAUGCAGUAACCCAAGAAUAUGUAGUCAACAAUCAAAUCGAUACAGAGACAUCAAAGUUCAUCCCAAGUAAACAAAUAGAUAAUCCAUGAUUUUAAGUAAGAACUGAUAAACUAGCUAUUUUAUAUCUAUCAUAAGAUUCNNNNNNNNNNNNNNNNNNNNNNNNNNNNNNNNNNNNNNNNNNNNNNNNNNNNNNNNNNNNNNNNNNNNNNNNNNNNNNNNNNNNNNNNNNNNNNNNNNNNNNNNNNNNNNNNNNNNNNNNNNNNNNNNNNNNNNNNNNNNNNNNNNNNNNNNNNNNNNNNNNNNNNNNNNNNNNNNNNNNNNNNNNNNNNNNNNNNNNNNNNNNNNNNNNNNNNNNNNNNNNNNNNNNNNNNNNNNNNNNNNNNNNNNNNNNNNNNNNNNNNNNNNNNNNNNNNNNNNNNNNNNNNNNNNNNNNNNNNNNNNNNNNNNNNNNNNNNNUAGAGAGAUAAGAUUGUAGAAUUCGUAGCCUCCAUUCAUUACAAACUAAUUGCGAGCUGAAUAGAUCAGUAAAGCUUUAUUAUUGUUGAAUUACCUAAAAUAUAUUUGUUCUCUCAUGUACAUGCUACUUAAUUGACCAAUAAACAAUCUAUAACGAGAAUUGGUCGAUAAAUGGGUAGAAGGCUAAUGUGCAACUUCAUUGGACUAUUAAGGGAUUUUGGCAACCAUCAGUGUUUAACACUUGGAAAAAGGUCAAAUGGAAGACAAUAAGCUUUAAAUAACUUAAUAGUCACUAACAGUUAGGAGACAGUAUUUAAAAUGCUUAAGUCAUGGGGACCCAUAGUAAACUUUGAUAACCUGAUAUAAGCCGUAAAAGUACCAUAGGUCGAUACAAACCACUCUUUCGAUUACUUAUUUAUAAAUUACUAAUUGUGCAAUUGCGCAGCACUUUAUCAUACAAAAUAUAUAUUCAUCCAAUCAUCGGACAAGAAGCAUCAGAGAGUCAAUAAUAACUGUCCCUCCAAAGUACAGAUAACUUAUCAGUAUGCACAAAAUUAAGGAUCAAUGAUGAUCUGUUUCUUACUCUACUAACUCAUCUCCGGUAGAAGUGUGGACGCUGUUUAUGAACAUAGCUGUGGCAGUUCCUCUGGGAUAGGUUAGCUUAUAGUUUAUCACCAUCGCCUAGCAAACACCAAACUGAACUUAGUUUACCGAAUUUGCAAAAUGUUGUCCUAGUUGCUGCACUUGAUUACAAAAAUGUAAAUGCGAUUAGAUAAAGAUGAAAGAUGCACACACAUCUAAGAUGUGGAUGAUUACCUUGCGCAGGGCAACGAGACAAAAAAUACCAAUGAAGCUAACUACAAACAUAAACCCAAUCAUCCAACUUAGCGAGGGAUUCUUCACAUCCACUGCCCUGUUACCAGGAUAAUCAGUCCCAAGAAGCUCGUAAGUUUUUUGAUCCAUUGCAAGCAUAUAUGAUCCGAGGGAAAGUAUCACAUGAUACCAGCCUUUACAUGAUACCAUGAUACUAACUUGCAAAACUCAAAUUUAAACAUGUCAAAAAAUUCUGAAAAAAAUCAUGAAUUCUCACAACACAUAUGUUGACAACCCCUAAAAAAUUCAGAUCGAAAAUCGAAAUACACAAGGAGAAACAAAAAAGACAAAUCCAUCAUAAAUAGUGUCAAAAGAAGACAAAAGCAAAAAUCACACUAUUCACAUUUGGAUUUGUCUUUUUUGUUUCUCCUUAUAUAUUUCGAAUUUUGAUCUAUCUUUUUAGGAGUUGUAGACAUAUGUGUUAUGAACAUCCAUGAUUUUUAUCAGAAUUUUUUGACAUGUUUAAAUUUGAAUUUUUUAACUUGGUAUCAUGGUAUCAUGUAAAGGCUGGUAUCAUGUGAUACUUUCCCUAUGAUCCGAAUCCUCCUGCACAAAUGGAAACAUUGAUUGAUAAUGUGAACUAUGUGAAAAGGGGGAAGCCCAUCGUCAUCAAUUUUUCUGCCACUCCCAAAAAACACCAAAAUCAGAUACGUACGCUGCAAAGUUAAACAUUUGUUCUAAGAAAUGCAAUUGUAAAAACCAACUGCUAGUGUAAAAAACGCUCUUAUAUUAUGGGACGGAGGGAGUAAUAACUUCCUUUAAUACAAAAAAAACAGUAAAACCAAACCUAAUCUUUCUCCAAUACCUAGCAAUGUUCCACCCAAAUCAAACACCGUUUAGGUCCCCACCCAAAAAUAAUAUACACACAAGCAACGGCCACACGUACUUAAUUAGCAGAAAUCAGCUUCAGAAGUCCACAUGAAGGCUGUUUUGAGUCAAGGAUCAUAUCAAAGCAAAAUGCAAACAUACCGCUGGUGGCGAGGCCGUAGCAGGCGACGACGCAGGUCUGGAUGACGGUGUUCUCCUGCUUCGUGAAGGGCUUGGAGACAACGCCGAACAUGUCCAGCGCCGCAGUCCAGGUCCGCACGAGGAAGUAGGCGAGCAGGCCCGCGGCGACGUUGAGCGAAGGAAUGAUCCCCACCGUGAGGUUGAGCUUGUGUGUGAUGAGGCAGAAGAGCACCCCCAGGAUGGCGCUCACCACCACACCCCGGACCGUCAGCUGCUCCCGCCACGGCGGCACCGCCUCCACCGCCGACGGCACGCCGGCAAGGAGGGGCCCGGUCAUCUCCGCCGCAUCCGCCUCCGAUCCCAUCUCUUGCGAACGCUAGUAUCAAAGCCAAUGCCUCCCUUCGCCUCAGACUUUGGGUGCUGGUAGACGAGGUCAAGGUGAGGAUGAAUGAAUUGGCGUGGAGGACUAGGUAUUUAAAGGGCGUAAACUGAAGCUUAAUUAGUACUCCCUCCCUUUCGAAAAACAUGUCGCGAGGGCAAUUUUUCAAAAAAACCCUCCAAUUUCUCCCGACCAAACCCGCACUCCUCGUCAUCCUCCUCCGACAGAAUCCCCAGCUGCGCUGCUCCCCGCCGCCGUCGCUUCCCCGCUCCCCCGCCGCAGCAGCCCUGCUCCCCGCCGCGGCGGCCCUCGCCGCAGCUGCCCUGCUCCCCCGCUCCCUCGCCGCAGCUGCCUCCUGCUCCGCCGCCGCAGCUGCCGCUCGCUGCCUCCCCAAGCUCCCCCCUUCCUCAUAAAAAUCUUCGAUUUCCGCCGCGCUGAUGGGCCCGACGACGAGGCGUCGCGGCUGGCGUUGUAGGCGUCGGGCGCGGCGGACCCAGGCGCUGCGGCGGGGCGGCUUCGGCCUGGAGUGCGGGCGCUACUGCAACGGCGAACCGGAGGAGAGGCUCCGGCAGUGGAGCCAGGCAUGGCUUGACGUCGCCAAGAAAAUCUCACCGCCUUCCCUUUCUUAUUUCACACGCGCCAUAACACUGGCGACGGAGCUUUGACCUCGCCUCGUCGGAGGAUAGUCCCCUCACCGUCCUUCCUCUCCUAAAAGCGCCCUAAUCCCGGGCGGAGAGUACCUCAGCCGGUGCCCGGCGCGCCUCUCCAUUUCCUUCUCUUGUUCGCUCCGUGCCGGCUGCGGGCGAGACCUCACAGCGAUGUCGUCGGCGGCGGGGACACCAUCGGACGGCGGAGGGGAUAGGCCGUGGCAGUCAUACCACACCGCCUACACCAACGCCAAAGCUGGUAAAACUGCAUUCCCCUCUUUCCUGGCUUAAGAUUGCGCCGGUAUGGUUUGAGCACUGGUAUUUAUUCUCUUAUCACGUUGCAUUAGGAAUGGAGGGAGUUGACAAAGAGAAGGUGCAGAAGGUGAUCUAUGAAAUGAGCAAGGGUUUCGAAAAUGAGCAGAAGGAGGCGAUUACCAAACUUAAAAUCGAGCAUCUGCACACACAGUGUGCAAAGUUAACUGAUAAUGACAUAUCACAUUUUCAGAAGGUUCGAGGCAGCAAUUUUCUGAACAAUUGAUCAUAAACAUCUGUACUGCCCUGUUAUUAUGCCCCAACAUCUGUGUAUUUAUGCUUGUUCCCCCCAACCUAGUUGAUGAACAAUUCAUCAUAAACCUCAACUAAAAUACAGCAUGCUGUUUGUUUCUCCAGCAUCUCCAAGUCCUACAGCCUGGGUCAUCUCUGUCACCAACACAUACAACCUGGGUAUGAACCACUUACUGAAUUUACUGAAUCUUCUCUACUUCAUCUUUACUGAAUUUACUGAAUGUGCGUAUUCUCUGAACCACUUAUUCUCUAUCUACUGAAUUUUGGAGUAUACUCUUUGCAGUUGUUUCUGAGGAUAACUGUUUAUUGCCUGAAAGAUAACACAUAACUGAUCAAACAUCUUGUAGGAGUAAUUAACUAGCUAUGUUACUCAAGGAAACCUUCCUCAGAUUAACUUGUUUAUUUGCAGUACUUCUCUCUGUCUCUAGAACAAUUAUUUAAACUGGAAAAGAGGAGGCAAGAGGGACCAUGUCUAGCUGAUGUCUGAGAGCCUAAAACUUGCUUAUGCAGUAAAUUGCCCAAGUUAGCUGUAAUACAUUCAUCUUACUGCAAACAAGAGUAUGAAUGUCUGAAAUGGUACCUUAUGGUGCUCCCUUCGUUCAGAAAAAUGGACGUCCGAAGAUGCAUGCACUCACCUUUUUGAAACUUUGAUCAUAUGGAAAACGAUAUGCUGAAUGAAAAUAUCAACAGUGGUUUUACCAGCCAUAAUUAUUCCUAGUUAUAUUUUGAAUUUGGCUUCUGUAGCAUGCUGUGAUUGAAAACUGUAGUUUAAAAUUUCAAAUUGUAGACCAUGAAAAGGAGGAACUAGGUAGCACUUGAUCCAAAGGUCCUGACGUAGGUGUUGUGUGCUGAAACAUGUUUCGAACUAGAGCAUUUUCAGUGAACUAGUCUCAGCUUGAAAUUUGGUUCAGUUAACUCCAUACAAGGGUCUCUUUUUGGUUUAGUAGUGAUUAGAAGAUCAUGUACUGAUGAUAUGAGAUUAGCAAAGGCCUUGCUUGUCACUAACCUUCAAAGUAUACUGAUUGUGACAUUAGCAUGCCUCAUUGAAAUAAAUCAAAAUAUUUUAAAUUAAUUCAAAUAACUAAAAUUAAUCCAAAUCAAUUCAAAUAAUUCAAAUAAAUCCAAAUAACCCAAACUAAUUCAAGUAAUCCAAAUUAAUCCAGUUAAUUCAAAUAACCCAGAUAAUUCAAUUAAUCCAAAUAACCCAGAUAAUUCCAAUAAAUUCCAACAAGGAGUUGAUAUACAAGGAUUAGACAAGGCGUACACAAGGGCAUGACAUAAGGGCAUCUUUGUCCCCUCUUGACACAAGAUUACACAAGACAUACACAAGGAGCACCUGACUACAUGACAUAAGGGCCUCUUUGCCCCCUCUUGACUACAUUCUUUCUCUGGCCACUUCUUCCCUUUCCUUUCCUUUACUUUUCUUUCUUUUCCCUUCUUUAGCCAAUUCUUUCCUUUCAUUUUCUUUUCCUAUUGCAAUUUCCAUUUCUUCUAUAAUGGCCCUAGUAUCAACAACUACCCGACUGUCGCAAUAUACACUGAUGAUUUCCCUGCCAGCAUUCUGAAUGCGAUCCUUGUGCAAGUGGGGCAACUUAUAUUGAUUUCCUCCUUUGUCUUUCAUAACUUCAAACAUAACUGCUUCUAAUGUGAUAAAGCUUCUGUGCAACUUGUCGGGAUCGUAGUUCUCGAAUUCCUCUUCCACACCCUGUACCAGUUCCUGGAUGUUUGUAGGUGACCUGCAGUCGGUUAGAGACUGGAGAGAGGUAAGGAAGCAGAGGUCCAAACAAUUUAACUCAGGGCUAUUUGGGGGCUGUUGUAGCAAUCGGAUGUCAAGAUCAGUUUGUUCCACAGCUUCUCGAAAAGCUACAUCAUUGGGAAGGACAUGGGGCUUUGCAUUAUCCUGUUGGAUGAAUAUUGUUGCUCCCUCGUCAUCGUCAGGCCACUUAUCCUGAAUUGUCGGGAUAACCUUAUUGAUUAGAUAAUCUCUGCACACAGGCCUAGUUACUUUCACUGAUGUCAACACUUUUGUUCCCUUUGUUCUGUUAUGACUUGUCCGCUUCGCCUCAGUCUCUUCAACGAAUGCCCAAAUGCCAAUCUUCCCGUCGAAUGUUAGCUCCCCCUCAUUGUUAUAUCGAGGCCUGGCAACAGCUGUUAGGAACAUCACCUUCCCAAUGCUGUGAGUGUUUGACACGGUGCGCUUCGGCUCAGGUUCUCCUGGAAGUACAUAGUAACUAUUCUUCACUCUCGUCAUGUCAAACCACUUCUCAUCGAUGUGAACCAUAUUCGUCAUUGGUUUAAACAUAGCCCGAGAAGUUGAGAUUGAAUUGUCAUCGACCAUGGACAUACAAAAUUUCAAUCUCGCAAGCUUGUUCUCUAGCUUGAGGUGAGGCUUCACGGUGCUUGUGAUGCGGUUGAGCUCAUUCAACUGGAACCUCUUAUGUAGGGUCGAUCGGGCCACACCUAGAGACCGUGCCAGAGAUCGAAUUGUCCUUCUUUUAUUUAGUGGGAUUGUUGAGGUCCUCUCUAGAUCCAUCUCCUUUCUCUUUCGGCCAGAUCUUCCUGGCUUCUUGCUUGAGACAUCUACUUCUUUGCCAUCGGCAAUUUGCUUUUUGGCUUCUUCCCAGAUUCUUUCAACAGAUCGUACACUUAUGUCCAACAGGUUUGAGACUAGCAGCUUGUCGCUGGUUGAACAGACCCAUCUCUGAGCUCGAUUACCAGCAAAGCGAAGUAAACACCAUGCCUCUCCUUAUCUGACAAUUCUCUUCUCUUCUCUUGAAGUAUCCAAUUCAUAACUUCAUCCUCUUCCUCUUGAGCUUCGUCCUCUUUCCCUUCAUCUUCUGGAGGCAUCCAAUUCAUAGCUUCAUCGUCUUCCUAUUGAGGCAUCAAGUUCAAAUCCAUAGUUCCAUUCUCUGCCACUUGAGGUUCCUCCUAUUCAGGGAUCCAAUUCAAAUUAAUACCUUCAUCGUCUUCCUCUUGAGGCAUCAAGUUCAAAUCAAUAGUUUCAUGUUCUUCCUUUUGAGGCAUCAAGUUCAAAUCCAUAGUAUGUUUCCUGCCAUCAAUGACAAAAGAUGAGUACACCAUGGUACCAUAACAAGAAUAUACACACACAAAAUGAGUAUGCAAGUCAAACAAGAAAUAGGUGCCAUGGCACCAUUUCUAGUUUGGUUGCCACGGUAGCCAAACAAGAAAUGCUGCCAUGGCAGCCAAACACUUUGCUCUAACCAUAAGCCAUUUUCUCUAGUUAGAGUAGUUAACAGAAUUUUACUCUAGUUAGAGUAGUUUUGCUGAAUUUUACUUGCUCAUAGUACCAUGCCUAUGGUAGAAAAGUGUCAAGAAAAAUAUACUCCUGUCAAUAGAAUCAAAACUGAUUUAUUACCUUUGCAUAUAAACUACUCCUAGUGAAUUAGCAUCAAUAAUUGUAGUUUAACUGAAUUUUACAAAAUCUGACCAAAUGUGUAGUUAGUCAGUGAGCUACAGAUCAUUUGCACUUGACAAUGUUUGUGACCAUUUGCUUUUACAAAAUCUGAACCAAUGUGGCUCUACAAAUCAUAGCAGGAAGUACUUUGGCUCUAUUGAAAAUUGUUUGAAACAGGAAAAUGGAUCAUAAUUGUUUUGAAUUUUGUUGGACUCUUGUUGACCAGAUUUACCAAGUGUUAAUGUUCAGUUUUCAAUUUACUGGAAACUUUAGACUUGCUGUUAGUGGAUCAGAACAUGCUGUUAGCAACUCUAAAUUUACUCAAGGCCUUGGUAUUAAUGCAUGUUUAACUGAAUUUACUCAAGUCCUUUGUUUAACUGAAUUUCCCUUUUGUUUACACACAGUUACAAUAGUUUAACUGAAAUUUAACCCUGCAUCAGCACAUUAAGCAAGCAACAUCAGCAGAUUAAGCAAGCGAGCAACAUCAACAGAUCAGCAAAUUAAGCAAGCAAGCAACAUCAGCAUAUCAGCAAAUUAAGCAAGCAACACAAGUACUCCAUGAUCAGCAGUAGUUUCUUUAAUAAUUUUCAGUUAACAACCAUCAUGAUUCUGUUCACAAUGAUCAGCAGCAUUUUCUGUAUAAUGAAUGUACUCCAUGAAUUUUAAGUUAACAACUGAAUUUACUCCAUGAUUGGCAUUGUCAUGAUUCAGUUAACAGUAAACCAUUUCACUAACUUUCAGGUAGCAGUAUUCUGAUGGACUACCUUCUUCAGAGUGCAGACGAGCACAACACGGCUUCACUUGGGUCAGCAACAGCAGCAUAGGCAGAGGAAGAUCAGGUUCGACGCAGAGGAACCCACGAGCAGAAGAUCAGGUGCGAUGCACAGGUUCAAUUCAACCCAGCUGUGCGCUUGGGUUCAGGUUCAGGUUCUCCCACAGUGCAGAAGAUCAGCAGCAGCACCACGACAGAGGAGCAAUAGCAGCAGCACGCAUAGCUCCACCUGUGACAGGGGAGAAGCAGCUGCGCGGGCGCGCGGGCGCGCGGGCAAGCGAGAAGGAGCAGCACGGCGACACGCGGGAGCUCGAGGAGGACUCACGGGAGAUAGAGGAGGACGAGCGUGAGCUCCUGGUCCAUCGAAUCGUGGAGGCUGGUUCCAACGACGGUCGUAGGGGAUCGUAGCUGGAAGGAUCGCGGCGGCGCACGCGUGGGAGCUCAAGAAGGAGACGCGGGAGCUCGAGGAGGAUGCACGGGAUCUCGAGGAGGACGAGCAGGAGCUCCUGGUCCACCGGAUGGUGCUGGGAAGUUCUGGCGACGCCGCAGGUAAUCGCAGCGGGAGGAGAUCGCGGCGGCACAGGAUUGGGCGACGACGGCGGUACUUGGCGACGGCGGCGGCAGCAGAUCACUUCCUGGUGGGCGACGAAUCGCGCAGCUGGGCGGCCCCGGCCCUUGGCGACACGCGCACGACGGCGGAGGAAGAAGACGAUGGCGGAGGGACUUGUUUGAGAUGGUUUUGAAACUGUGAGGUCUUUUUUGCAAAAGUACCAGUGAACUAGGCGUGCGACAUGUUUUUCGGGACGGAGGGAGUACACAAGUACGUAUGGUGGCUUUAGUAUGUUCAUCAGUUCAUGCAUGCACACUAUGACACGCGUACUCCUAUCAUGCAGACACGUAGCAGGCCAGCACGGUCAUUAUCUUGGCAGAGGACCGGGACAGGAGGAGCAGCGUGAAUCAUGCUUGUGCUAGUAACACGCGGGUAGUGCUAUCCGGCCACUCGAUCGCUAUCUAGGUAACGGUGGCCACACAUUUCUACUGCUUACGUGCUAAUUUGAUUGCCAUCCUUAAGCAAGCGUUAACUAUAUCUGAUGGGGCCGUAUCUAAUGAUGGCCACGAAGUACAGUCUCUGGAACCAUCCCUACGGCAGGAUUAUGUACGGUGGGACUGGAUGUAAUGGUAACCACAAAUCAUGCCAUGCAUUAGGAAUUAAGUAUUUUUUUUCUCUUAGGAAGGAAGGAACGUGCAUGUUGUAGUAUUUGAUUUGGCCAUGCCAUCGAUGCGAGCAAGGUAGGAGGGCUAGCUGUGCAUACGCACAGUUUGAACGUUCAGGCUGAUGCUGAUGUCACAUGUCAUCGUUUGAUGUCGAAAUAAACUAUAGAAAGUUGUGCAUCUCAUGGCAAUUCAGAAAUUUUAAUGGUUUAACUAAACAAAGAUAAAUUGGCAUGUCCAUGGAAAAUGGAGUGCCCUUUUGUUCAUUUAUAUUUAUACGUUAUGUGCACUAGAAGCUUAGGGCACGCUUCGUGGCGCCGUGAAGGCUUUUAGGGCCUCGCAACUCGCUUUUCGCUGUUUAUUUUUGUCAUUGUGGUUAUCUCGCUGGAAUAUGUUCUCAUGAUGGCCUACUAACAAUUAUAAUUAAGUUUGUUGGUGUUGGCGCAGUAUGCCAAAGUCAAUAAAUGUAUAUUUUUGCGAGGUUAAUGUGAUUAUAACAGUGAAAUUUAAUGUAAUUUAUGUUUCACAUAUGAAGGUUUCUCGUGUAUUUGAUAUUCUAUACAAUCAUUUUUAGGAAUCACCAUAGUGGUGGCUUGUUUGGCGGAGAGUCCAUGGAUUUGAAAUUUUAGACAAGUUGCAUAGAGAAAGUCUGUUGACGGAGGGAUAGAGAAGGUGAGUGAUUUGUUGGGAAGAAUUAAUACUAUCUUGAACACACGAAUAACUAGCAUUAUCGAAAGAUAUUUGUGCCCUCUAAAAAGAUAUUUGUACACUUGCCGAAAUUGUUGCUACAGGACCCUUUGUAUUAGCAACUAAUGUACACGACUAUAUCAGCCUAGCUGUCCCUUGCUCCACCGAUGAGUUCGCCCGUGUAUUUGUCAUUUGAACUGCGCCACCAUUUGCCCCGUCAAUUGGUGAACUACUUGCGUCUGUAGUAAUUUUAUUUGGGGUUCUUGUGCCUCUCCUAGCCUUUUCAGCCCAGUUGACAAGGCCUUCGGUCACAUUGUCAUCAAAUAUAGUCUUCUUGAAAGAAUUCCCCAUCUAUACCAAUGAUGAGACAAAAUUAGAAUAAAAUGAUAGAUAAGAAUAUUUGUUUGAUCAUGACAAUAAAGCCAUUAAAAUUGUAUCAAUUUGUGAAAACAAGCUUUGUAUUCAUCAAGAAUGGAUACUCAUAGGUAUAGUUCAAGUUGAAAAUCAUUAUAUCACAACAAAACUACAAUUUUAUCCACUUUAUUAAUUGAACUCACAUGGGAGACAACGGCGUAUAGUGGUAGGGUGCUGUAACCACAAAGAACUUGGCAGAUUACACUGAAAGAAGUAAAAUGUAAUGAGUAUGUUUUUAAGAUGUCUCAAUAAGUUGUUGAUGCCAUUGUGAUUUCUGUUGUACCUUAUGACAACUCGAGUAAUAACAUAUGCUGGUUUCCCCAUGAUGCAUGAUUUAAAACCAUAUGUUACCUGCAACAUUGAUAAAUGCAAGGGUUAGUCCUACUUGUAUUCAUUAGAUUCCUAUUUGAAACUAUCAAAUCCAUAACUUAUAUUCUAUGUAAUUUCACGAUUCUUAUCGUACUCUCCAAUACUUCAUGUUAAAUUAGGUUGUGGGUACAACAAGCUUACUUAUUGUUCUUACCAAGAGCCAGAAGAAAAAUGCAAUUUCAAAUGCAUUUUGAAAUAGGACGAUGUGGAUCAACAGAAGGACUAAUUUAGGCCGAUGGAACCAAAAGAAGUUAUCUGAAGGAGAAACUACUAAAUCCCCUCGAAUAGCCGUAUCCUUCUGGGCAACCUCAUAAGCCAAUUCCGUUAUUAUGUGCUCCAUCUUACUUCCUACCACAAGUAACAUCUGCCAAACACAAAUACAAUAAGUUGAUGUCACGAGUCUGCCCUUUUUUGGAUCAUGCUUAGUUUGAAAGAUCAUUGUAGAAGUCAUAUGAAGGCAUAUAAUUAGUAUUUAGUCCUUAAAACAUGCAUACAUGUAGUAGAAAUUUCUUUUAUGUGUUUUUGUAUAGAUAGUAACUCAUGUUUACUUACAAUGAAUGGAACCAAGGUAAUCCAAAUGUAGACAUACCACCCUACAAUAACGGUACGACAAGAGUCGGGUUACUUUUCACAUAAAAAAUUGUCUAGUGAGGGUUAGUCAAAAUAAAAUAAGUAAAUAAAUAAAUAUAUUUUUGUGACAAUUUAACAAAAGAAGAGUUAUACAAGUGGAUCAAAACUUGUGACCUCUAGUGAUACAUACCUUCAACAUUCAAUAGUAGGAAUAUCAUCAGCAUGGCCCAAAGGUACCAACUACAUAAGCAUAACAUGGACAUCAAUUUGCUAUUUUCUCUAUAGGUAAUUGAUCUAUACAUAGCAUAUGCUUUAGAAAAAAAUUGGGUAAUGCAUUUUGUAAUAGUAGCAUUGAGCACUUACCUAAUACCAACAACUUUCUUAAAAUCAACCUCCAAAGCUCUGAUCAUGUAACUAUAAAAGUUGAAUUUUGGUGUCCCCUUACAAUGUUUCUGUGAAAAGGAAUGAAGCAUGUAUAUAUAUAAGUUUCCUCCACUAAUAGUGUAUACCCGAAAACAUACACGUGACUUCUAUAUAUCGAUUAAAAUGUAGGUUGAUUACCAUGAUGAAACCAAGUCUCAUUGUUGUGUAGUCCUCCUCAGUGACGGAUCCAUAAAAUUGUUUGAAGAAGGAACGCUAAAAAGACGAUGACUUAUCUUAUAGCCCAAUUGCAAAAUAGAGAAAUAAGGCAAUAUAUAUGUUUUGAUCCUUAUAAAAACACAAGAAAAAGAAAGUAUACCAUCCAACCAAAUAUCCUCGACCGCUUUCUAUGACCUUUAAAGUGGUCUUGAAUAAAUUUGAAUUCUCGAAUGUGCUUGAUCAUUUGAGGGGCUGCAAGUUAGGACCCAACAUUAGUAAACAAAAAAUGUAACACAACUUCAUACAACUGAAGAAAACUUGUGAACUCAUCAUUAGCCAAACAAGGAAAGGAAACUAUUUGCAUCAUAUAUACAUACCACCGUCAUCACUUUCUUGUAUCUUGGUCUCCCAAUGUCGCCAAUUUCUCGUCUGCACAACAAUUAACAUAGUAGUUAGAAAAGCUAUGGUAGACGAAUUACUCGUUACUAACAAAAAUAUAGUCAGAGUUUUAGUUAGUACCUGUGCAAUUCCUAGAAGUACUGUAAUAGCACUGAGAAGGAAAUGGGUGACCGCCAACACGAAGAUAAAUAUGUGUAGUUGAUGAAUAGCUUCAGAUGAAAGUAAUGGAACUUUGUCCUGCAUGCCAAAUGGCGUCAAAUGAAUCAUUGGAUAAGAACAAGGUGGAACGGGUCAAAGACGAAAAACAAUAGAUCGACGAAGACAGAAGAAAAAGGAAAAGUAGAGUAUCACAAAUAAAAUCGAGAACCGACAAAAUGGUUGUGUGCAUCAUCUGCAGAGGUCAAGCCGUCAAGGGUAAUCCUCCUUUUCAAGAAAAAUAUCACAAAACAAAAUCAAGCACUUCUGAUGCCUUGAGCUGUACCUUCUUGAGGCAGUAUUCGUCGUCGGAGGAGGCUCCUCCAGCCAGGAGGCGCCUCCCCCCACCCAACACGCCGGUGAACACAGCGCCACCGAGGUGGUCCGUCUCGUGCAGCGGCGGCUUGCAGGGCUGCAGGUGGAGCAUGGUGCUCGGGCUGACGCACAGCUUCCCAAUGGGCCCCUGGAAGACGGUGAGCAGCAGCGAGAUGAACCCCAGCAGCAUCAGCUCCUCCUUCACCUUGAGCAGGGCCUCGUACAUCGGCUUCUUGCGACUCCUUAUCAGCCUCUGCAUGCAAACGUGCGUGCCCAAACGUUCAGCUGAUGGCCGAUUGCUUCGACAGAUACGGCAGGCAGCUUCGUGGUCUCUCAUGGUGGAUGUACGCACAUACCUUGCCUAGGCGGUGGAGCAAGCGCUCGAAGAGCAGGGAGAUGAUGAUCAUGACGGAGCAGACCAACGCCACGAUCCAUGUCGGCGUGAACUCGAGCGGCUUGGCCUUCCCUUCACCGCCGGCCAUGGCGCCCCAAACGUACUCGUCAAGAACCAAGCCCACGCCGACGCCCCUUGUCGUAAGAAUGAAGUGGCAAGCAAGACUAUUCUUGAUACAUUUAUAUAGCUACAAGAGACGAAACUACUCAGUUACAUGGUCAUCAGUUAUCACGCAUGACAAUAUUGACUUGGCACGAUCAGAACCCUGAAUUAUAUUCCAAGCUACAUGUACACACAGGAAAACAAGAAACAACGCGUUACCUUCCUAAAUACUACUAGUAUUCAUUCUCGAAAAAUACUACCACUAGUAUUCCGCUAGCAUAUGUCCCAUGUGACCAUUUUUUUUCUUUUUUGUGCUGCAGUCUACGGUCCACCGCACUACUUUUUUUUUGCGAUGACCACCACACUACUAUUAACCAACGGGAACUGGAAACUGGAAUAAUAGUCUGUUUUGGGGUGUUUCGUAUGAUGUCCCCAACUGCCUGAACGAAAUUUGUACUUUGAUUAGAUCUGGUCGUUGUUUGGUAAAUUUGUUGUCAAAAUUCCCUUGAUGCAAUGUGGCUUUUGGUAACUUUCAUGUAAUGCCGCUCACAACGGCGAUGAUCCACUUUUCUUUCAAAUUUGUAGUUGCCGCUAACAGUGACAAGGCCAUGGAUCUGAAAUAUUCGAAUUUGUAGUCAUUGCUCCGUUUUUUCUUUCAAAACACAAUGGUUAAAAAGAAUUCUAGACCUAGCUGGCCCAGGUGGUACCGGUCAAAAGCACAUCUAUUAUUUUAGCCUAAUCUGUAAGUAGAGAAACCACUGAUAUGUAUAUUUUUUAUUUUCUGAGAAAACACUAUUGCAAUAUCAUUCUUGGUUAAAAUAUACUAGUAUAUUUGCAUUCCCGGACAAAGCAGAAAACCGUGGUUUCAGAUUGGAUCUGCGACGCGGCGUCAGCGAAAUCAAAGUCGCGGCCGUCAACGUCGGAUGGUGGAAGUCCAAAGCGUUUGGUUUGCGUCCAGUUCAACAGUCCAGGUGCAGGUCCUGGCCUAGUGCGGUGACCCAGCUCCACCAAGUGGGCUUCCUGACAGCAGCAUGCAUUUCGAAAUACACUAGGGCGUGUUUGGUAGCUUUCCCGAGCGGCUUAGCUCAGCCUGUCUUAACGGAGGCUGGUUGAGAAAAAACGAGAAAACAUUAACACAUGCACUUCAUUUGGUUGCCUACAAUGAGGCUGCUUGCAUUAGAGGAUUGCUUUAGGCAUAUUAUUUGGUUGUCUGCAUUGGCUCGGCGAAUGCAACUACAUCAUGUUUGGUUGCCUGCACCGGAGAUGAAUAAGAUUAAUAGCUACCCAUAACACACUGCAGAGGCCGGGGGUGAUUCCUCCUUUUCUAAAAAAAAAACCAUAACACACACAGGGCCAUGGCGACUGGCGAACGAUGGCAAGGACGCAAUGCUGUCCAAGUCAGUUUUCUGUUUGUUUGUUUCUAGUCUAGUACUCCAUUCGUUCCUAAAUAUAAGCCUUUUUAGAGAUUUUAAUGCAGACUACAUGCAUACAAAACAAAAUGAGUGAAUCUACAUUUUAAACUAGGGUUAUAUACAUCCAUAUAUUGUCGGUAUUGAAAUCUUUAAAAGAUCUUAUAUUUAGGAACAGAGGGAGUAGCUUAAUAGCCUCGGCCACGGUUGUUGAUGGUAUGCUGCUAAUGUGUGAACAAAGACCAGAAGAUACGUCCUGGUUUCACACGGUGAAUCAAGUAGCAACUCAUUCUUCGCCCUAGAAGGAAAUAAGAUUUAUCGUUGGCGCGUCAAGCUAACCUCUACAGGCGAGGCAAUAAGGUUUUUUGGAAGCGCAAUUUUAUGACUGCUUGCUGUACAUCCAAUAUUCUUCACUGCGAUAAGCAUGGGUGGAGCUUCACCAAACCGGCACUGUGACUUUUCGAUGACACCAAUAAACCCUUGGCGAGUUCUAGGAGAGAACACAUAGCAUGAUCCGCCUGCUCUUAGAGCUAAAUAAUUUGCUACGAUGAUACUCCCUAAUCAGAUAAUCUUGGAUGAGUUAACUAUCGCCUUCAUUUUCAGACGCAAAAUACCAAUACUGGCUAGACUAACUUGGUCUUGAAUUUUCGUGUAGCCAAGGCCCGUCUUUACCUACAAAGCGUGUGCUUUGAAAAUUGAGAUGGACUGGUCGAUCACCAUCAACUACCAUGCAUGCACCUAGCUGGAUUUGGAUAUAUAUGGGUGAGGGUGCCUGGUGCGGGUUCGCCUGUAAUAGAGAGCUGGUGAGGGUGGAUCUAGUGCGGUAGGUAGAAUUGCAACUAGGGCAUGCAGCCACAAAUGGUUGUUAAUUGCCCAUUUGCAUGCCCUAGUUGCACACGACGACGACGUCCAUGGUUGUUGACUGAUAGCUAGCUACAUAUAAGACCAUUUCGAGAAGCAGCUACACAAAUGAUUGUAAGUGCCUUGAGUGCACAUUUCGUGGAUGGCUAACUGACGACCAUAUUAAUGUGAGCGUGCAUAUAUAUAGUAGCCGUCGAAACACGACUGGAAGGCGGCCAGUCUAGUCAACCGAGCUCUCUACCCGCUUCUUUGGACACGAGGACAUGGCUUUGGAAGAUGCAUGCAUGCCAAUCAGACAACCAACCGAAGGCACACGGCAAAUUGGUCCCUCUGCUUCGUCAGUUAUGACGUGAUGAUCGUAGUUCAAAUCUUAGGCAGGAUGGUUCCCGUGCAUCAUUCGAUUGGACAUGCAUAUAGAUCACGCACUCACCAUAUCACACAUGCCUGUCCCAUGAACGUGACGCUUGGGGCAUGUACAGUAACUGAUAAAGCAUGUUAGCAAAAUCACAUAAGCAACAAGAUCGAUUAGCACAAAAAAAAACA